rnacentral:rRNA from 1 species
UACGGGGGGGCAAGCGUUGUUCGGAAUUACUGGGCGUAAAGGGCUCGUAGGCGGCCAACUAAGUCAGACGUGAAAUCCCUCGGCUUAACCGGGGAACUGCGUCUGAUACUGGAUGGCUUGAGAUUGGGAGAGGGAUGCGGAAUUCCAGGUGUAGCGGUGAGAUGCGUAGAUAUCUGGAGGAACACCGGUGGCGAAGGCGGCAUCCUGGACCAACACUGACGCUGAGGAGCGAAAGCCAGGGGAGCAAACGGG